CCGUAUGAUUACAAACUUCGCUGAUACCUGCCCACCCGAAAGCUCAGAGACUAGGAGUGGGGUCCCGGUUGAGGACGGCGCUGACAACGGUGGGAACCAUGAUACAGAUUAUGAGAGAUGAUGG
rnacentral:sRNA from 14 species